rnacentral:lncRNA from 1 species
CUCUCCCCACCGGCAGGUGUGGCCAGAGCGGAGUGCUCUGCAGUGCGGCGGCGGGGAGUGCGGGGCGGGCGGGGCGCCGGAUCCCGAGCGAGCUGCUCCUGCCGGUGAGUGCACCCGCGCACGCUUGUUGGAUGCGCUAGGACGCGAGUUCUGGUGAGCCUCGGUGGAGGUGCGGUGGCCGGAGUGCGACGGGGACGGCUGUGACUCCGGAGCGCGGCGGUCUGGGACUCUUGAGCGCGGCGGCCGGUGCUGGGCGCGGCCCCGAUGGGCGUGGUCGGCGCGGGCAUGGCGAGGCUGGAGAGCUGGGCCUAGGAUUGCAUCGUCGAGGUAUGAACAUUCCUGGCUUAUCCCUUGCAUUUGGGUGGAAGAAGAAUACAAAAAAAGAUCUAGUUUACAUUGAGUUUGUGGCCAGGUGCAAAUUUGGUCAAGUUUAGAUAGAGGUCUAGUAUUUGCCUGUAUCUUUUUAAUUUGUUAGCGUUGGCAAAUUUGGCAUUGGUUUUUUAUUACAGAACUAACUAGGACCGAAUCUGACAUGAGUACAUGAGUAACUAGCAUCAGAUAAAAUCUUACUCUUCUGAAAAUCGAGUUUGGAAGCCAAAUUGUUGAGCACUCGUUCCCUGGUUAGCUGACAGGAUUGCAUAGUUGUUCUGUAGUUAGCAAUCAAAGGAGCAGUGCCUGCUCAUGACGUGCUGGUCUCUGUUCUAGACUUGUAGCAGGUGUUGGAGUUGGAACAACCCACGGCUUCGUCAAUACACCCAGACCCAAUCCCAUCCCCACACUGAAUCUUCUUUUUCUUUACUUUCAUCCACAAUCUUCCCGGGUUUCUCUGACAAAGAUAGUAAGAUGGGUGAAUCAUUUGUUGUCAAUAUUGGUUGUCAAAAAACAGUUGCUCUUUUAAAGCUUGCGUUGCGUGUGUGAAUGAGGGCAGCAGGUAUCAUGCUGCAGUUUGGCUUUCGUUUUGCUAGAUUUAUGUGAAAACUGUGGGAGCUCCAAUGAUUACCUUGCUUUGUUUAAACAUAAACAUCUCAUAGAAACAAUAAUACCAAGCUGGACAUUGAACAUAGGCCAAUUAUCUCUUAGUAUAUAGAAAUUACAGGCUGAACACAAAUAAUGGAAAUAGUAACAUUAUUACAUAUAGAGUCGAUAAUGUAACUUAAAAUUUCUUGUAGGGGCUCAACUGCAACGGUCCUGGAUUAGAGACCCUGCGAUUUGGGCGUUCGACACGAUUAGCAAUAGACGCGGUGGUUAACUGGUCUUUCACAGACAUUGGAGUUUUGUCGUUCUUCUUUGGG